rnacentral:rRNA from 1 species
CGUAGGGUGCAAGCGUUAAUCGGAAUUACUGGGCGUAAAGCGUGCGCAGGCGGUUAUGUAAGACAGAGGUGAAAUCCCCGGGCUCAACCUGGGAACUGCCUUUGUGACUGCAUAGCUAGAGUACGGCAGAGGGGGAUGGAAUUCCGCGUGUAGCAGUGAAAUGCGUAGAUAUGCGGAGGAACACCGAUGGCGAAGGCAAUCCCCUGGGCCUGUACUGACGCUCAUGCACGAAAGCGUGGGGAGCAAACAGGAUUAGAUACCCUGGUAGUCCACGCCCUAAACGAUGUCAACUGGUUGUUGGGUCUUCACUGACUCAGUAACGAAGCUAACGCGGGGAGUUGACCGCCUGGGGAGUACGGCCGCAAGGUUG